rnacentral:lncRNA from 1 species
AUUUAUAAGGGUAAACAGGGGUUUUUGAAAUAUAUGUAUCUUAAGCUUGAAAUUAAUACAGAUUCUGAGAAAUUAUAAAAUUCCAUCUAUAACACAUAUUACAAGAACAUUGUUUACGGUAGCAUAACUUUUAAUCUGACAAUAUACAUGAUAUAGCAACUUAUCCUCCUUAUUAAGUUUACAAUUUAAUCUAUUGUCAGAUUUGCUCUAAAUGCUUUGGAUUCAGAUUUAUAAGCCAACAUCUACAUUUACCCCUAUGUUCUAUUUUUAGCCAUGGCAGCCAUCUUGGUUGGUUGUCCGGGUCAUCGGACACAUUUUUUAAACUAGAAACCCUAAUAAUGAUUGUGGCUAAGUUUGGUAUAAUUUGACUCAGUAGUUUCAAAGGAGAAGAUUUUUGUAAAAGUUAACAGACGACGCCGGACGACGACGAUGGACAACGGAUGCCAAGUGAAGAGAAAAGCUGACUUGGCCCAAAGGGCCAGGUGAACUAAAAAGGUACAAUGCAGCAUGAUUCAUGAAUAACAAUAAUACAC